rnacentral:rRNA from 1 species
ACGUAGGGGGCGAGCGUUGUCCGGAAUCACUGGGCGAAAAGCGCACGUAGGCGGGCUGUCAAGUGGGCCGUGAAAGGCACGGGCUCAACCUGUGCAUGUCGGUCGAUACUGGCGGUCUGGAGUAUUGGAGAGGGAACUGGAAUUCCCGGUGUAGCGGUGAAAUGCGUAGAUAGCGGGAGGAAGACCAGUGGCGACGGCGGGUUCCUGUCCCAUGACGGACGCUGAGGUGCGAAAGCCGGGGGAGCGGACGG